rnacentral:misc_RNA from 1 species
UUAAGCUUUGCUUCAGAGUUCAGACCUUUCGAUUUUUUUUUUAAAGAUCUUAUGGACCAUUUUGCAUUAGGUUUUAUUAAUUUGUUAUCAUAAUUUUUACAACUUGAAUACACUAAGGGAUGUUUUGGGCUGUACCUGGCUGGAAUGAAUGGCAAUGUGCUUCUUAAUGUGCAUCCAUGGAACUUCUUCCUUUCCUUCAAGAAGCAAAAGGCGAGAAUUCUUCUUUGAUGCUGAUGAAAAAUGAUAUAAUUUGUACUUGCAGGAUGCACUAAGAUCUAGUUUG